rnacentral:lncRNA from 1 species
AACUCAAAAGCAAUCCUAAACAUUUCCAAAAAUCACCAAAUAAAUCAUGAUCAAUCCUAACACAUAGCAUGGUGAGCAUGUCAAAUUUCAUCUCAUUUGGACAAGUGGAAGGCAGUCAAUGAAAAUCAGAAAGUCAAAGCAAUUUUGAACAUGCUUAAGGAAGUCAACCAAACAUGCAUCAACUUAGAAAAAUCAUAAGUCAAGAAUGGUGUAUGAUAAAUGAGUGGGAUCAAAACCAUGGCAAAGAUGAGGAUGUCUAGUUAUCUCAUGCAAAAUUUCAUGUCCAUCUAAUAAAGUAUGAGAAUUUCACAAAUGAAAUGG